rnacentral:rRNA from 1 species
UCAUGACAUAAAUAGCAGUUAAAUAUUACGAACUACAGUUUAAAAUUUAAAGAUUUUGGCGGUGUCUUAUAAAACCAGGGGAACCUGUCUCAUAACUCGAUAAUCCACGAACAUCCAACCUUCUAUCGAUAUACAGCAUGUGUACUGCCGUUGUAAGCAUACCUUUAAAAGAAUGAGUAUGCCACUAUGGCUACCAACUACCCAUUUACAUCAGGUCAAAGUGCAGCUAAUAAGAAGGUGAUGAUGGGUUACAACCCCAAAAUAGAUUAUCAACUAAGAAAUAAAAAAUCUUAUGAAAGUGGACUUGGCCGUAAUCAACUUAUAAGCUAAAAAAAUGAAUAUUACCUAAGACAUGCACACAUCGCCCGUCACUCUAACCUAAAGGAU